UGGAUAACAGAAGUACCACAUAACUGGGUUCUUUAAAACAUAUGCUAGUUAUGGCAAUAUAUACUAUUUGGAGGCAGAGCUUGGCUAGUUUAUUCCAAUUUUUGGCUUACUAAAAACUCACAGACAUGGAUUCUACCAGGGAAGCCGAAAGGCUCUCUGCUCUUCAGCCACCAUGCAAGACAAUUUCAGCCAUAGAACCUAUGGACACUGCCCUUUGGGCAAAGGACACAGAGGGAGCUGUCAUGCAUAAAGUUAUCAGCACUCAAGAUGAAAAACGGAAGCCCUUCCUCGAGGCAGUCCACCUGCCUGGCAAACAGUUGUUUUUUUAAGUAGGUAAGACCUCCCAGAUCCUGGAGAGAAAUGUGUACCUUGUGGCUAGAAGACCUUUCAGGAGCACAGCU
rnacentral:lncRNA from 9 species